rnacentral:rRNA from 1 species
CGGAACGGGUGAGUAACGCGUGAGGAACCCGCCUCAAAGGAGGGGACAACAGUUGGAAACGACUGCUAAUACCGCAUAAGCCCACAGGUCGGCAUCGACCAGAGGGAAAAGGAGCAAUCCGCUUUGAGAUGGCCUCGCGUCCGAUUAGCUAGUUGGUGAGGUAACGGCCCACCAGGGCAACGAUCGGUAGCCGGACUGAGAGGUUGAACGGCCACAUUGGGACUGAGACACGGCCCAG